rnacentral:rRNA from 1 species
UACGAAGGGGGCUAGCGUUGCUCGGAAUCACUGGGCGUAAAGCGCACGUAGGCGGCUUGUUAAGUCAGGGGUGAAAUCCUGGAGCUCAACUCCAGAACUGCCUUUGAUACUGGCGAGCUUGAGUCCGGGAGAGGUGAGUGGAACUGCGAGUGUAGAGGUGAAAUUCGUAGAUAUUCGCAAGAACACCAGUGGCGAAGGCGGCUCACUGGCCCGGUACCGACGCUGAGGUGCGAAAGCGUGGGGAGCAAACAGG